AGAACGAACGUUGGCGGCGUGGAUUAGGCAUGCAAGUCGAGCGAAUCCCCGCAAGGGGGGAAGCGGCGAAAGGGGCAGUAAGGCGUGGGUAACCUACCCCGGGGACUGGUAUAGCCCUUCGAGAGAAGGGGUAAUCCCGGGCGACGUGACGAGGGGGCAUCUUCUUGUCACCAAAUGAGUUUCGCCCUGGGAGGGGCCCACGUGAUAUUAGCUAGUUGGUAGGGUAACGGCCUACCAAGGCGAAGAUGUCUAGCGGGUGUGAGAGCACGACCCACGCCACUGGCACUGAGACACUGGCCAGACACCUACGGGUGGCUGCAGUCGAGGAUCUUCGGCAAUGGGCGCAAGCCUGACCGAGCGACGCCGCGUGGGCGAUGAAGGCCUUCGGGUUGUAAAGCCCUGUCGAGGGGAGAAAGGGAACUUGAUCUAUCCCUGGAGGAAGCACGGGCUAAGUUCGUGCCAGCAGCCGC
rnacentral:rRNA from 1 species